UCCCUAAAAAGUUCUAAAGGCAUAAAGGUUUGGUCCUAGCCUUAUUAUCAGUUAUCUCUUAAUUUACACAUGCAAGUCUCUGCACCCCCGUGAGGAAGCCCUUUAACCCUACCCCAGGACAAGGAGCAGGUAUCAGGCUCAACCUUUUGCCCAUGACACCUAGUUUUACCACGCCCCCAAGGAUAGUCAGCAGUGAUAAACUUUACUAAUAAGCGACAGCUUGACUUAGUUAUAGAGAAGAUAGUUGGCCAACUCGGUGCCAGCCGCCGCGGUUAGACCCUGAAGCUAAAAUUGAUAAUCAUCGGCGUUAAGCGUGAUUAAAGCUACUACUACACUAGAGUAAAACUCCUUACCCAGCUGUGAAAAGCUUGCAUUGUGGAAUCCCAUAAACGAAAGUUACUCUAUCUUACGCUUGAACACACGACAAUUAGGAACACAAACU
rnacentral:rRNA from 1 species